rnacentral:lncRNA from 1 species
GCAGGCCCCGCCCACGCCGGCGGCGCGUUCGCGCAUGCUCCAGGAAGGCCUGCGCCGGCCCGCGCCCCGCCCGCUACCGGUGAGGAACGGGUGCUGUGUACGAGAGGGAGCCGAGGGCUUCGUCUUCCCAGCAACAGGCGCUCGUGCCUCAGAGGCACGACAGAUUCCUAGGCGCUGCUUGAGUGUGACGUGUUUCCCAACUGCCACUACCCUCUUCAAAGUACUGACCUUGCAUAGUUUAAGCUAUUGUAUUCUUACCGCAUUAUCGGUUCGUCAUCUUUAUCGAUUCAUUUCCUUGCAUGCUUUCUACAGGCUGCCUCUUCAAGCCUCAGGAGGACAGUGCUCCUAAACUGGCCUGCACUUUACAUCACAUGGGGAUCUUCUAAAAAUUCCAAGCCCAGAGCAUACCCCAGGCCAAUUAAAUCACAAUUCCCUAGCGGUGGGAAACAGGUAUCAGUAGUUUUGGAAAUUCUCCAGGUGAUUCCAAUGUGCAGAAAAGUUUGGGAACCACUGCCCUAAGGCCUUGCUGCUCAAAGUGUGGACUGUGGACCAGCAGCAUCACUAGAAAUCAGAACCUCUAACUACUUCAAUCAGAGAUCUCUGGGUGAUUUGACACACAUUAAGAUUUGGGAAGCACUGUUUAGAGGCCUGAAUGGAUAUGGGUAUCUUGAUUUAUGAGGACCACGUGUUUAAAGGAUGUCCUUGGAUGAGGAUAACAACGACAGGAUGGAUUGUGUGACCUUCCACCAGGUAUGUAAUUUUCAUGUCUUGCGUUAUUCCAAGUCAUUAAGCAAGGCCUUGUUUGAAGGUGAUGAACAGGUCCCUGCAGAAGAGUGCAGUUUUGAAAAGAAGCCUGGCCUUCAUCGUCCUGAACUGGAAUCCUCACGUGGUACUCACUCCUGAGCCUCACCUGUCAAGUGGAAAUGAUGAUAAUAGCGCCUGUCUCAUAGGGUCUCAUGAGGACUGUGAGAGGGUGUCUGGGACGCAUGUCUAGGACACGCAUCCACCUGUUGCUUUUCUCCUUCGCCACUCUAGGCCCUCUCCAGGGGACGAGUCCGCACACAUCCCUCCUACACCUCCAAAAGUCUUAAAUGGUUUCCCUUGUGUUGUCUCUGGCUUUCUCCUCCCCACGCCCACUGCACCGUGGACAUGGCGAGGGUACAUGGUGAAUCUCUUCAAGAUCCUCCCUUCUCUUGGCCUCCUGACCCCAUGUGGUACACCCAUGGCUUUCCUCCUGCCUUCCUGACUUUGCCCGUCUCCUUGGCCAAUUGUUCCUCCCACCUCCUUAGCUUGGUGCCCAGGUUUCCGUGCUCAGCCCUCUGCUAUGAUUACUGUAGUGGGAGAGCUGGUCUUUGAGCCUCAGUCACCUGACUUUGGAUCCUAACUCUAAAUUUACUAACUGUAGGACUUUGGAUAAGGUUCUUUGAAUCUCCUUUCUCACCUUUAAACUCGACUGUUAAUCCCCACCUGUUAGAGUCAUUUUUGGAGGGAAUGAGAUUAUAUUAACUCAUAGUUCCAUUUAUUAUGUGCCACCCCCUGUGUGAGGGACGUUUCCCACCAACUUUCGGUUCUCCCAACAAUUCUGCAUGGAAAGCAGCUAAUAGGAUCCAGGCUGUGCCUUUCUUCUUCUUUCUCUUUCUUUCCUUUGAACAGAUCCAUUGUUCCACCUCUUUCCUCUCUGCAGUUUACUCCCCAAUUUGUUGUUCCAAUGACCCACAUUUCUAAAUGACAAGUGGAUUUUUUUUUUACAUUAACAUCAAGCAGUCACCUCAAACUCAACAUCGUAAGUCAAAUAAUCUCACUAUCUCUAUCUGGCUAUACCUACUUCCCACUUUCUUCUUGUCUACAGGGGUAUAAUUCUGUCUCCCACUCAUGAAAACGCAGAACAAUGGUUCCCAGCCCUGGCUGCACAUUAGAGUCACCCAGAAGGUUUUGAAAAUGAUGACACCUAAGGCCCCCGCUCACACCAGUGAAAUCGGAGUCCCUGAUCCUCUUCCUUCCUCUGCUCAUCAUGGGCCUGGCUGACUUUUGCACCUGUGCUGUCCGUCUCUGUCUAGCUUUUCUUUGCUCUGGGCCCAGACUUCUGCAACAGCCUCUCAACGAGUUUUCCUACCUUUACGUUCGCCAGCCUCAUCUCCCUAAACCUCUGAGACUUUCUAGGUUUGAGUUUGCAAGACUGGUAAUUGCAGAGCAUUAUUAUUCCUCUUGCUAUUAUUCCUGCAAUUCAGGUAAUAGCACUGAGGUAGGCAGUGGGGUCCCUGGGCUCAGGCCCCUCCAUACCGCUUCCUCCCCUGGGCACAAUUCUCAGCCCAGAUCAAGUCUGACUGCCUCUAGAUGAUCCUUCCCUGACUGCUGCCACCCCCAUGCGUCUCUCCUGCCUUUGAACUUUUGCAGCCCUUUCUCUCUGUAGCACUGAGUAGACAGUCCUUGACUGUGUUGGGUUACUUUUAACCAUUCAGACAUACAAUUUCCUGUUUCCCUAAUCUUGAUUUAAUCUUCAUAAGGGCAGAGACUGGAUCAUAAUCUUUGGACCCUCAGUAGUGAGGUGACUUGCAUACACUGGGGGCCAUCUUAGUAUUAAUAUAGUCAGUUAAAUGAACAUACCCAUGAAAGCACUGUGUGAAACCUUAAAAGUUUGACAUGAAUGUCUUCAUCAAGGAAUCUUUCGUGUGCAAGGACCAUAAUCCCACUCAGACUAAUCCACGUGCGACACGAGGGACUCUCACUGCACCGGCUGCGGACAGACCGCAUAGGGUGGCAGUUGCCUGCACACGGUCUGUUUCUCAGUCUGCCACUCUUCGGCUCGGCUGUCUUCCUUAGCCUCACUCCUUUGCUCUCCAAGCAUCUCUUAGACUACUCCAUUCAUUUCCUGUGUACGUGUGUCCCUGUCUGUGCUUGUGUCUUGCUAGCUCACUCACUUGCUCAUGCAUGUGUUCUCUCUCCCUCCCUCCCUCCCCUCCUCAGGCUUCCUCCCCUCACAGUCCUGGGUCUCGGAUCAUCCCUGCCUAUCUCUGCUCUUUUCUCAGCUUCUUCUGUGACACUGAGUUUCUGCCCCUGUGACUGUGGUUUUCCAAGAGCUUUGGCUCAACUCAAACAGCCCUGCCCGACCUUACAUAAUCUGGCCUCAACUCCCCAUGGCUAGUGACUCCUGAAGGAGAAUCUUUGGCCCACCUGGGGUUCAGGCUCUUCCUCAGGCCCAAACAGCUUCAGCCGGAAAGAGCUAAGGCUGUGAGUCUUGUAGAUCAAGCCAAAAGGUUAACACAAACAGAACUCUGGUAUGCCUGUUCUAGCUACAAAAUUGCAUUUACUACCCUCAGCUUUUUACCCACCCUUUGUUCCUCCCAUGUAGGAGACUGGAGAUAUUUUCUCUCUCUUUGACUCUGUAUCAACUGUGUGACUUGCUUUGGCCCUAUAAGUUAGAAGUGACAGUGUGUUGGUUCCAAGCCUAGGCCGCAAGAGAACUUGGGUGUUGCUAGAGUAUUUUAAAGCAGUCUCAUACAUCAUCUCAUUUUGCUGUAUUAUCUCAUUUUGUUAAUUAGCUCUAAGAGGUUAUAGAUAUUAUACAUAGUAUUAUCUUCAAUUCUAUUAUCAGAUCCAGCAAGAUGAACAGUACUUCCUUAAAGUCAUCUAAUAUCCACAGACCCUUAAAUUCAGCAUAUUCAAAACUGCUUUCCUCUCUCCCUUUGCACCCUCCCGGGUCUUCUUGUCUCAGUGAGCGGGGCCAUCAUCCACCCAGCUCACUGAACCCAUGGCUUCUUCCAUCUCUCACCCCUGCAUUUAUUAAAAGGCCCAUCAUGGGUGGUUUUACCUCCCCAUCUUCACUUGUACCCAAGGAAGGCCCUGGUCCUUCUAGUUCCCCUGAGUGUCUGUGAUCUCAUCAGCAAAUGGGUGUCCAGGGAUCAAAUCGGUCCACUCCCCAACCAUGUGGAGAGAAUUCUGUUUAGAGGCUAUCCUCCCCCAAACUGCUCCUGACCUCUCAAGAUCGCUUCCUUCCCGGCAGGCCUUAGACCUUCUCACACUAACAAAUAUCGCACUAAAGAAAGAGGAUAUCUAGUAGGAUUAAAAGGGUGAGUCCUGGAGUCGGGAAGGCACACUCAGAGGUCAUUAUUGUCAGCAGAGUGUGAGGUCUGGGCUCGCAGUGCUGGCCAUGGCACCAGAAAGAAGGCGGCAGGUGCACAGAUGAAAAGGCAGACCAGUGAUGGUGGUGGUUAGAAGCGGGCUUUGAAGUUUGGCAGACCUAACUUUGAAUCCUAGCUCCACCGUUUACUAUUUGACCUUGAGCUAGUUAUUUAAUCUCUCUGAACUCCGUGUUAUCUGUACAAUGGGGCUAAUAAUAUCUAUGCCACGGGAUUGUUGUGAGAAUUAUAUGAAACAAUUAAUUCAUGUGAGGUGCUUAGCACAGGGCUCAGCACAUAAUAAGUGAUCAAACAAUAGUAGCCUUUCUUUUUUUCCCCCGACUUGCUGCUGACUUAUGCCUUCCGUUCUUAAACCAGAGUAGAGUUUGGCAGACUUCUAUGAUAGCCCCCAAUAAUCACUGCUUCCUGGUAUUCAUGUCCCUCUGUGAUUACCCUUCUCCUUGAGUGUGGACUGGACCUUAUGAAUUGCUUCUAACUAAUAGAAUAAGGCAAAGGUGAUGGGAUGUGAUUAGGUUACAAAAUAUUGGGACUUGCAUCUUCCUAGCACACUCUCCUCCAUUACCUUCUUGGCUUGUUUGGUACAUUGAUGAAACAAGCUACCAUGUUGGAGAAGCCCACAGGGCAAAGAAUUGAGGGUGGCUUCUGGCCAACAGCCACCUAGGAACUGAGGCCCUCAGUCCUGUAGCCCUCAAGGAGCUGAAUCCUGCCAACAGCCGUGUGGGAUUAGAAGCAGGUACUUCCCCAGUCGAACCUUCAGAUGAGACCCUAACCCUGGCUGACUCCUUCAUUGCAGCCUGGAAGAGGCCCUGAAGCAGAGAACCCAGUUAAGCCGUGCCCAGAUUCCUGAUCCGUGGAAAUUGUGGGAUAAUAAAUGUGUGUUGGUUUAAGCCACUAAAUUUGGGGGUAAUUUGUUACGCAGCAUAACUAAUACAUAAAGUCAGUCUUUCAUGACACAAAAUAACUCUAGACCUAGCAGACACCCUAAGGAGAGAGCAUCUGCACAAGGAGUAUUCUGACAGGAGAGGGCACUCUGACCCAGCAUCCAUCCAUUACACAAAUUUCUUCCUAUCCAAAAAUCAGUUACAUAGUGUGACAAGAGUGAGUACAAUUAUGGUGAUAACUGGACAAAAUAGCUUGAAUGUGGACUGUCCUAGAAGAUCUUCAGUGUGUGGUCCCUUUUAUCCCAAUUUUAUUCUUAUCUUCCAAUGUUUACUUCUCCCAGACUAGUCCCACGCAGCCAACGUGGUUAGCUAGGGCCACUGUCCUUGUGGAUCAGGCAAGGCACCAGGACACCAUCCCUGAAACACACCUUUAACUUGAAGAAGCAGAACAACAGCUCUGCUGCUGCUUUUGUAGGCACGUGGUAGAAAGACUUUUGGAUGGGGCACGAAUGGCCACUGACUACCUGGGCCCGACUUUGGGCAACUCUUCCCAACCUGCUUUGAUCAUCCAUAAAAUAGAGGAGACCCUGCCCUACCUCCCUCACAGAGUCGUUGUGGGCGUCACGUAAGAACUUGGCAAGUUAAUUCACCUCUCUGUACUUUGGUUUCUUCAUCAGUCAAUUGAGGACAAUAGUGCCUACCUCACAGGUUGUGAGGAUUAAACGAGAAAACACAUUUAAAGCACGUAGCAAAAAGGCAUGGCUCAGAGGAAUUGCUCUGUGCUCAGAGGAAUUAGCUCUCAUCGCCAUGAUUACUGUGAUCUGUGCGAACACCUUUGUCAGCCAUGAAGUGCGAUGCAUCUGCAAACUGUUACCGACACUAGCUUCUCAAAUUCUGGCUCAAACAAAAAGGGAAUGAGUGGAUGAGCACUAUUGCAUUGGCCAAGGUCAGCCCAAAGUGAGCUGGAAGACAGCAGUUAAGAAAAGUUCCCUCCACUUUGCCUGGAGAUUGAGCAAGAGAGAUUCCACCCCUGGGCCACAUCCUCAAUAUAAUUCCCCCCAUCUCCCAGGAAGCCUGCAGGAGUCACUGAUUGUCUAAUGGCCCAGUUAGGAGAGGUCCCCCAGGCUGUCAUCUGUAUUUUUGUGCUCACUCCCAGCGGCAUGCUGUCAGCAGGUUUCUCGCCCUCUCUCAGCGUCUGUUCUUUGGAACAGACUUCUCCUGGAAUCAUCGGCGGACAGUGCUCAGGCCUAGCACCAUUUCUCUUCUUGAUUAUCUGCUCAUCUUGCAGUUCCAGCCUGGCCUCUCUAAUUAGCGCUCCUCUUGCUUCAGUCUGAUCAUUGCAUUUUCCCGCAGCCGUAAUUGUACCGCCACAGGCCUGUGCGUAAUCACUCCCACCCACUUCAAAUCCAUUUUAGUCUGGAGGAGCCAGAUUCCAUCUAGUGAGUGAGGCCUAAUUGCUCUCUGAUUACCCACAGGGUCAGGCGCUUGCAUGUACACAGUUUCUAUCUGUGGCCAUGCAAGAUUUUUGUGUUCGAUAAUUUCCUCUGCCAGCUUUUUCACUGAGCCACCAGAGUCACCCCUGGCAGAGGGGGAGCUGGCAUCUGGAGGGAGUCCUCGCCCCAUUUACGGAUGGCUUCUUGGUUUACUUUAGGGGUAGAAUCCGUUCAUCUCUCUUCACCUCCGGUGCCACCAUCUCGGUCCAGUCUGCCAUUGUCCCACCUGAUCUCGAGAUGCAUCCUGCCACCAGGCUCAGUCUCUUCAAUCUUCUCCACACGACUGCUGAGGGAUCCUUCUCAGAUGCCAGAGAUUCAGUGAUGUCCCGCAGCCUGUAGGAUAAAGCUCCCCCUCCUUACUAGUGCCCUGGCAAGGCCUCAGAGAAGCCGCGUUAUCUCCAGGCUUCCUUUCUCACCACUUGCAUGCUGUCCAAGCACGGGGAGCUUCCUUCAUCACUCAUGCCUGCCCAUCUCUCACUUCCCUCCGACCUCCCAUACGCUCUUCUCUUGGUUUGCGUCACUCUCCCCUUCUUGCUCCUACUGUCCCUCAAAACUAGCAAAUGUCAACUUAUCUGUUAGGUGGCAGCUUAGGGGUCAGUUCCUCCAGAGAGCUUGCCAGACCGCUCCGGUUGGCCAAGUGGCCCUGCUCCAUACUCUGCCAUCCCCUGGGCUUCCCUCCUCACAGCGCUUACCACAUGUUACUGCCGUUACCACAAUUCUUUAAUUAAUCUUCCCCAGCAGCGUGCAAGCGCUGAGGGCAUGCUCCAUGGAUCUCAUCCACCACCGUAUCCACAGCACCCAGCGCAGUGCCCAGCACAAGGCGGGUGCCAAUAAAUCUUUCUUGACUGAAUCAGUAAAUUUCCCACCACUGCUAUGAAGCCGCAGAAAUAGUAGUGGAAGUUGCUAUGGCAUUUCCCUGGGUCAGACGUUUAUUGGUCCUGAUAACAUUUCACAUAUUAAACGUAAAUUUUUGACUUGAACAAAAGACUUAUUGCUUUCUAGCAUGCCAAUAUGUUUUUAUUUUUAUUUCUCUCGCACCUUUCACAGCUUCCCUGUAUCCUAUGAAUUGGCUUUGAAAUACUGCCUCCCCCCUUUCUUCUCAAUCAUUCUAGGUCAGUUUUGGGCCAAUUUCUGUACUAUGUGCUUUAAAUACAUCAUCUCAUUUCAUCCUCCCCCAAGUUUGUGAGGCAGACCUUCUGACUCCUUCUCACAGAUGAGGAGGCCCCGUGCCCAUGGGCAGGGAGGUCUGCGUCAGUGGACGGUCCAAUAGCCACAGCCCUGUGUACGCAGGCCUAAGGCUCCCACCCUCCGUGACCUCUUCUUGUCCCCACAACUGUGGGCUCCAUAUGGUCCUGUUCAGUAGGCCCUUUGCUAAUAAGUGGCACCAUUUAUUUAUCACCUACAUUUUAGAGUGAAACCUGCACCCUUCUUGGAACUUCCGAAUCGUCUGUCCUGCUUACCUCGCAGCACAGAGCAGGGACAUGGCAACUUUUUAAAUAUUCUUUGUGACAUCCGUUCACUCAAAAAGUGUUUAUUAAUUCUCCUUAGAAAGCGAGGUCCCAGAGGCUAGAGUGCCCCGUUAUGGAGAUGGGGAACAGCCUAGACAGGGAAGCACACCUCGGGGCACCAUGCUCCCUCCGGGGCCAGUGCUCCAGACUCCCUCUCUUGUUUCCGAACACAGGAUUCUGUGCUUUUAUUUCCUCCACUGUGUGGUCAUGACUGUCACCUUCCUGGGACUCUCUGGGGUACACGAACAGUGACUCCCAGCCUAUCCAACCUUUCACAAAUGCCACCGCCUCUUCACCCUGGCCACAUGAUUCGCAUGCGCCUCCAGUGGUCUCUCUUCUCUUGACAUUACUAAGCCUUUCUUCUGAGUCAGAGACUGGAAGAGAGAAAUUCCGUAAUCCAGUUCCUGGAAAUGCCAAGCAGGGCCUAUUAUAUAACCCUCUCUAAGUAGCUGCUAAAUUACUGGGUUAAUUAAUGAGGGGAGAGGUAUGGAGGAGAGAUGGACAAAGGAAGUCGGCUGAUGGGAUGCAGGUGCUGUACCUGGAAGUGCGCUAAGUUAUAAAACCCCCAAUUCUGCAGACACAAGGCACCUCCAAGGUUCCAUUGGGAACAGAAAGGUGAUAUGCCAAGAGUCUCUUUUCAAGUCAGCCCUGCCAGAGAGAAUGGGGAAGCCUAGGCUCCCAGCCCAGACCACCAGGAGGCUGGUAGCCUCCAGCCCCUGGGAGAUAGGGUUUUAAACUUAAAGCAGGUUCUCUCCCUGUUGGAGCUCUCAAACUACUGAGUUUAUCUUACUCCAAAGUCCAAAAGGGGAUUCCCAGCCUCUCUGUUGACUGACCAGCAGUGCAAGACAAAAAGGAGAUGAUGAAAGCAUGGAGUCAGCCUCAUCCAAUCCUUUCUUGCUGGUCUCUGGACUGAGCUUCAGAGACAGGAACCAUCUCUCUUCAGGUGGAGGGUCGCAUGGAGAGGCCGUGGGAAGGGGAGGGGUCUCCGUGGUCCUUUGGAUGUCUGGGGCCUUGUUUGAGAACUUGCAGGAUGUACCCUGGAAAACCACUGUUCUAAUGUCUGUGAUGCCACAAACUUUCCCCAGAAUCUUAAAAUGACCUCUAGUAAUAUUCACUCACCUAGGAGAAGAGAAAAUAGCUGGUCUCAAAUGUUAAUCUUCUAAAAAUUGGAAUUGGAGCACCUGUGGGAACAGUUGCUCCCUCUCCUGUCUAGGUCCCCGCUCCUAUAUGAAAGAGAAAGUGCCUUCGUCUAUCUGCAGCUGGAUGGAAUGAGACGGUUCUCUUUGCCUUUUCUCUUUUCCAGGCCUUUUCCCCAGUGGAAAUAGGGUCAAAGAAAUAAUAGGUUUAUAUGGGUAUUUCCUCUACCAAAUGUAGAAAAAAUACUCCAUUGCACACCAAAAGCUCUCCCUUUGUCAUCUCGCUGCCCAUCACUACAACUGGGGGGUCAUCCUCAAGGUCCUCUCCCCAGAAAAUACCUAUACACAUCUAAGCAAAAAAUAAUUGCACAUAAUUUCGCAUCAUUUGAACCCCAAGCUAAGAAUUCCUGCUCCAGAGGAUGAGUAGAAAAAAAAUUUUCAAAAGUAACACUCAGCAAUUUGGUUUGGAAUUAAAUCUUUUGGUUGUUUUUUGUGGUCACAAUUUUAAGUCCUGGAGUUAGCGACUGUUUCCAGUGGGGCUUGUUUCCAGCUGAGUGGUGUUCUCCAGCAUUCCAAAGGGUGGGCUGCCCAGGAGAGCCAACACUGUCAUCCAGAAGGGAGACUGUUCUCCUGUGGGAUGGUCUGUGACAGUAAUCUUGUCCAUGAACAAGUGGCUGAUUUAUUCUUCUCCCACAGAGACUUACAAUCUAUGAUACUCCCGUGACUGCCACAGAGCCACCUGUGUUUAAAGUACCAGUGAUAAUGGGAGUGAACCUGCAUAUAAUGGCUUAAGGUUGGUUCCUGUAGAUAUUUACCGGGACCUCUGUGUGAGAUGCGGUGCCAGCCCCAUGUGAUGCUCAGGGGGUGCACCCCGGAGCCUUCCAGCCGACAACUGGGGCACCUGGACCAGUGCCAUUUUAGUGAUAAAAAGUGUUAAAAACAUUAGAGUGUGAUCACCUCUUGUUUACAGGAGGGGUGAUGAUGAAGAAAGACUUUCUGUGAGUUCUAAUCACGUCAUCACAGACUUUUUAUUAAAUGUCUAUUGAGCAAUAAGUGAAAGUAUGCAAAUCUGGGAGAGAAGUAGGCCAAUGUCCUCUGGAGGAUAUUGAAGCCCUGGUUUUUCUCUUUCAAAGUUGUUUUGAGCAAUAAAGAAUCUUUUGUUGCUGGUUGUAUUUGCAAAAAGUGCUGUUUGAAUAUUGUAAUUGCACUAACAUUUACUUAAGCACUAUUGUUUUUACUUAAAUUGCAUGGAGGGGGGACAAAAAAUAACUAGGAUAAGUUUCUUGAGCAGCAGCCCCCUCAGCAUUAAGACGAUGCAGAAGGAGUGCCUCUCUCUGUUGAGUGAUUUCAGGGGUUCAAGAAAGAACUCCACCCCACAGUGCUUCCUCUACUUUCUGCUUGAAAGUACACAUGAGGUGUUUGGGUACCUGAAAAAAAAACUGGCGGAUAUUCCCAGGAAGGCCACAUUAGCACCCUCCAGCCAUAGGCCUCCAGAGCCCCCUUUGGUGGAACAAGCGUGGUUUAUUGCCCAUCCCAUUUGACAAGCCUGGGAGAGUCUGGCUAGAGAUGCAAAUUGGAGAGUUUAAACUGUAUUUUUAGGACCUUUAGCAAUUUAAAGGCCGCCACACAGAUCUUUUAGCAUUUCUGAGAUCUGUCACCAGCCUUCCAGGGCGCCAGCACCCAGGCCUUUCCCGAGGUGUGCCCUGGGGCUGCAGGGGCCUCCUUCUCUGUGGCUGGCCCUUAGUCAGAGGUGUGGGAGAGGCCGGCCCAGCAACCUCACCUGCAGCGGGGUCACCCUGAGUCUGGGCCUGGCCUCCUCCUCCCCUGUCCGGCUCCCCCUUGUCCUCUACUGUUUCCCCUGGGAGCACUCCGUGAGUCCUGCACCCGAGUUCUCCUCUCAGGGUCUGCUUCUGGGGAACUGAGAGUCGAGUCACUUUCUGAGGUUUGUUAAGGAAAACCACAUGCUCCCACCCACCCCCACCCGGCCCAGACGCCCUCCACCUUCAUGUUCUCCAGAAACAACCAUUUCACAUUCAUCUUAGCUCUAUUUCCUUUCUUCCUUCCUUUCUUUCUUCCUUUCUGGUAUGCUCAUUUACGUCUCUAAAUAACAUUCUGACAGUGCUGCUGCCUGAUUUUUCAGUUUUAGGCAUUUUCUAUUGAUUUUCCCCUAUAGAAUAUGAAGAUUAAGACACACACACACACACCCCUUCCCCCCUCUUCCAUUCUCCUAAAUGGUUAUAAAAUAACAAUACUAGGUUCUUCUUACACAGAACUUAUUACACACCAGGGGUUGUUCUAAGCAUUUCACACGUAUUAAUUCAAUACUCUCCCCAAACCCUGGGGUCUGUUAUAAUCCCCAUAUUACAGAUCAGGAGACUGAGUCAGAGUAGUUAAGCAAGUGGCCCAACCACCGCCAGUAAACGGUGGAUGCAGAUUUGAACACAGGCAGCCUGGCCUGAGUCCAUGCUCUUAAGCACCACGUUAGCUGCUGGGAUCAGGCCAUGAUCUUAGUCAGAUCAGUCUUCAGUGUUCUUCUGAUACCAUUCGAUCAGUGCUGUGAACAGCUGAUCCCUGUGGUAAACUGUGAUUUCUCUCUCCUUCUUGCAAAACUUUUUAUUUUAUCCAGAGUCAAAAACUGUCUGGUUUUUUGUUUCCCUGGUCUUUUGUAUCUUACAUAUUUAUCUCUAAUUCAACCUAAAUUCGCCCCCAGUUAUCUAAAUCUCCUCUCAUUAUACUCAGACACAUCUGGUAUUCCAUCAGUUUUACCCUCUUGGAGAAAUUUUUCCCGGAGCACUUCUGACCUGUUCCAGUCUGGCCUGGCGGCUCCCGGGACCUGCUCAAAGCCACCGUCCUGGACGCCUUCUCUGUGUCAUCCCUCGGUUCCCUUCACCCCUCCUGGUCCCAGACUCCAGUCUUCUUCCCUCUUGGUCCUCUUUUUAUCAUGGUGGAGCUCUCUGUAGUUUCCUCAGAAAGAAUACGUAGGAAGUAAAAUGUGGGGGACCUUGUACAUCUAAAAAUAUCUUUUGUCUACCCUCAUGAUUGAUUGUUUGGCUGAGUAUAGAAUUGUAGGUUUGAAAUGUUUUUUCCCUCAGUGUUUUGAAGACAUUGCUUCAUGGCCUUCUAGCUUCCAGCAUUGUGCUGAAAACUCUGACGACAUUUUGAUUCCUGAUCUUUACAUAUGCCUCUAUUGAUUUUGUUUUUCCUCCAGGGUUCUGGAAAUUCAUAGAAUCCUCCCCUUCUCCUUAGUGUUCUGAAAUUUCAUAGGGAUAUGCUGUGACAUGUCUUGGUGCAGCCUAUUUUUACCACUGGGCUGGCCACAAAGCGGGCUCUUGGGCCUAGAAACCCAUCUGCUGCAUCCCGGGAGAUUUUCUUGCAUCGCUUCUUAAAUGAUGCUCCCUAAUUAUCUAAUAUUCUCAUCUUUUUAUUCCUAUUUUUCAUUUCUUUUUCUCUUUUGCUCUAUUUUCUGGAAGAUUUCCCCAGCUUUAUCUUCUAACCCUUCUAUUGAAUGUUAAAAAUAUUCUAUACUAUUUUUAUGUUUUAUAUUUUCUCCUAUCAUGUUUUAAAAUUUUUUUAAUUUGCCCUCCUUUUUUUUUUUUUAAAAUAGCAUCCUAUUCUUGUUUCAUGCAUGUGGUAUCUUCUCUGAUUGGUCUGAGGAUAUUAAUGGUAGUAGAUUUGGAUUUUCGCCUCCCUGCGUGGUUUCUGUUUCCUCCACCAUGCCUUCUUCCCUUCGUGUUGACCCAUGUCUUAUAUUAGAGACUUUCCACAGCUAUGUGGUGAUCCUUAGCUGCUUUCUCAUAUUUAAUUAAAAAACAAUCAAAUUCCUGUACACGUGGGUGAUGACUGAAAGCUGGGCCAGUCCUCAGGGAACCCCAGUGUUUUUAGGGCUUUCCUCUCGGGCUGGUCAUGUUCCCCAGGUUUCUGCAGACCAUACGCUUCUGGCUGCUAGAAUCUCAGAAGCUUUGUGGAGGAGGAGACUGGGAGUCUCCCUGCUCAUUGGAUAAACUUUCCCUCCAUCUCUCCCGCCCUCCACUGUGCUAGAUUCCCAUCAAUCCAGAGACCCUAUGUUUUAUCCUCUUCAUUGGGUAUAAGUCCAAGCUUCUGUUGGGAAGAAGGAAGGGAAAACUGGCCCUAGCAAGGAGUGUGCGUGUGCAUGUUGUAAGACCUAAAGUUUCAUGUGCUGCUCUGACAUCUUAGAGCACAGGGCCCCAAAGGUCUAACUGUGAUCUCCCCGACUCUGGCCAGGUAUGUCCCCCACCAAGCAGGAAAAGCUCCCCUCUGGCUAGUUCCCUGUCAGCCGGACCUAAUGCACUCCACUGAAUCGGUUUCGCCUCCUUGCCUGCCUAUGAAAUUAAACAAACCAAUCACAUCCUCUUGUGGGAACCCAGGGGUACUCCACCCUGUUGUUACUACAAACCCUGCCUCCUCCAGCCCCUAGAGGUUCGCUCUGCUCCUGAGAACAACCACUAUGUGCCCCUGCGUGGUUCAGUGUGUCCUCCUCCCCCAAGCUGUGAGUAUAUGGCUGAUAAACUGCUGUCAUCUCAUCUUUCCAGUGUCAGGUGCCAUGUGUUCAGCUACCUCGUACUGUUUGGGGUGGCGGAUCCCUCCCUCACCAACGGCAUGACUAGGAGGUGGUCACUACAUUGUGUGUGUGUGUUUGUGCACAUGCACAGUGUACCUAGGGCUUUAAUUGCUUCUUAAGCAGACUUUCCAUCAUUUCUUCUAUUGCCAGCACCUCCUCUCUUCUAGAGGAAAGGCAUGAUAAAUGCUGGAGUCUGACCACGUGGAAUUGGAUUCUGGCUCCACCCCUACUCCAAGCUGUGUGGACUUGGGCAAGUUAUUCAAUUCUUUUGAACCUCAGUUUCCUCAUCUGAACAAUGAGGAUAAUAACAGUAUAGGGUUAUUGUGAUGAGUAAAUGAGGUACUAAAUGCAGAGGGCUCACUUCUCAUUAAAAAUGGCAGAGUGAGGGGCUGGCCCCGUGGCCGAGUGGUUAAGUUCGCGCGCUCUGCUGCAGGCGGCCCAGUGUUUCGUCGGUUCGAAUCCUGGGCGCGGACAUGGCACUGCUCGUCAGACCACGCUGAGGCAGCGUCCCACAUGCCACAACUAGAGGAACCCACAACGAAGAAUACACAACUAUGUACCGGGGGGCUUUGGGGAGAAAAAGGAAAAAAUAAAAUCUUUAAAAAAAAAAAAAAAAAAAAUGGCAGAGUGAACAUGAGCAUUUACUGCCUCCUCCUGAAGCCCUAAUAAAAUACAGGAAGGAUUUUUUCAAGCAAGCGUAUUAUCCCAGGAGGGCAAAAGAACAAGAGAUAAGAUUGUGGCGACAAAAUUUUGGAUGCUGGAAAGCAGAAGUUUGAAUGGCAACUGAUUCGGCAGAGUCAAGAAGCCAAAGAAAGAAUUAAAUAUGUUCAUCCAUGGUCAGCACUCAGAAGGGUCAAAGGCAGUGACACAGUUUUGGAGGCUUGGAGGCUGGUAGAAAAAGAAAACACUUUGGAGACCAUGAGAUCGCUCCACAGACUUCCAAAAAAGGUGGACUGGUAGCAGCUGGCGCGGCCUGGGAACGAUCAGUGAGGGACUGUGAACGAGGCCAGCAUUCCUACCUGAGAGGAAGUUUGGAAUUACACAAGUUCAGGGAGUUGGAAAAGGGAUUAUCUUAAUAUCAGUAGCCAAAGGGGAUGCGUCAUACGUUAAAAACGUCACACUCGCCCACCGUUCCAUGUGGGGGAGAACUUCAGGCAGGGCACCCUCGUGUGGAGGCUGAUCAACAUGGACUCGACACUGACUCAGCACGUGGUUUUCGGUGACAUCCCUGGCUGUGGUGGCCUCCCGCAGCACAUGAGGAAGCAGGCGCAGAAUUUCCAAGUACCACCUCAGGCCCUGCUGCGAGCACUGGGAAGACAUCAAUGAACACAGCAGGCCGAGGCCCCGCCAGGGUGCAGGCUCCAGGCGCUGCUUCCACCUGGCACAGAGGGAAGCCAAGGGCACGGGAUGCUUGAGGGAGACGGGAGUAAGGAGAGGGUUCCACUCGCCAAGGAAGGGAGGCCGAAGACACAGCUUCAAGCUGACCAUCCAGUUUUGACGAUAUCAUUGCCCAGGGCUUGCGCCGCUUCACAAACACCAAUUUGCCAUGGAGGUCAUGUUGCUUCUGAGAAGAAACCAUACAGAGCCAUCUUGUGGUGGGAAAAGGACGCACAGGUUUCAGCCUGAAAACUUUAUGGGGUUUUACACAGGUGUAAAUACAUCUGCAUACUCUUGCACCCUUGUUUCCUCCCGGUUGGCCGGGCAGCAUUUUAAAGUGGUCAGCAAACGUUUACAGCAAUCUAUAGUUGUUCCGCUAACACAUUUACCACAGGUAAUUAACUUAACUACCUGAUAAAAAUGUAAUUGGUGUGUUGUAAUGCUAGCUAUUGUCUGAAAAGGGUUUGACUGACAGUUGCGUUGGCUCCUUGGUUAUCUUUAUAGGUACAUAAUCAAAUCCAAAUUUGAUCAUUAGUUUGUAAUUUGAUUAAAGUAAACAAUCAAAUUGGGUAAUCAUGAUCCUGAAAGAUUUACUAUUUGCCUCAAUUAAAUAUUUGGAUUUUUCUAUUGUUAGAAAAUAAUAAGAAAUUAGUCAGAUUGCUCUCCGAGGCUGCCAAAUGCUGUGCAGCUGCACUCUCUCUGUCGAGGAUAAACCUAAUUCAUCAGAGAUGAUACGGGACUUAGAGGAUCGAUUUGUAGGUGUCAGGGAUUCAUAUUGCCUCUCUGGAAGCAUCCGUCAUGUCGUGCGAGACUUUUCUCACGGUGCAGCCCCCAGCAAUGCACGCUGCAUUCUGAGACGGCAGAGUGCAGUCUCCAGGCGUGGGGGACAGACUUUCAGAGUGUGGCCUGCACAGCAGCUGGGCCUGCGCCUAGGCCGUCGGCUACUCCAAGCCCCAGUGUCACCUGCGUCUACGGGACUGUUCCAAACAGCUUGGACGGUGAUGGAGAGCUUCGCCCAGCUGCAUCACCUGUGCCUAGUGAGGUGCGUGUGGUUUUCUGCACACAAACUUCCAUCCUCAAAUAAGCAAACAGCCUCCUCUCUAAGCUCAGGAGGCGCUCCCUUCUUGAACACUCAUUACAAGAGACGUUUUUAAAAUGGGAUGACUGAUAAGGGUUUUUCUCGCUCAGCUUAUAGAGUGAGGAUCCUUCAGAUGCUUCCACUGAUUGGGGCACCUUCUCAGCAGCCUCCCAGCGUGGGAAGAGGAGGCCUUCUGGGCUGGGUUUAGGAAAGCCACGUCUCAUACCACAGACAACAGAACUGUAAGAGCCUCAGCAUGGUGUGCACGUUGGCAGCCUCAAAUCCAGAUUGGGGAUAAUCUGCUACAAAUGGCUUUGGCCUUGCUCUUGAAGUCAGCUAAGACAGAAUUCAGUUAAAUUUGGGGGAUAAGUAGUUUUCCCUACGUCCUCAGUGAAACCUGGAAUGUGCUUCCUUCUCCUCUGUGCUGGACCAGCCCCCACCCCGUGCCAACCUGAUCUUUGCCCAGCAGACGCCGAGGCGCCUGCCCAGGCUCAGCCCUUGGCCCACUGGGCCCGCUGACUUCCUGCUGAGGUGUGCCGGCCUUGCCCACAGUUUAGCUCCUGCCUCUGCUGGUCUUACCCUGUCAUCUCAUUGUUUCACAUGUGCCACGUAGCACCCACGUCUCCCCAGGGAGAUGGUAAGUGCCACGAAGGCAAUGGGCAACGUGUGUAGAACAGUCAUAGGAUUCGUUUGUUCGAGUAACAAAUACUUCCUGAGUGCCCACUGUGUGCCAGGUACUGCUGUAAGCCCUAGGCAGAUGGCGAUGAACAGAACCGGGGCCAAGGCCCUGCUCUCAUGUAGCUUCUAUUCUAGUGGAAAGACAGACAAGAACAAAAAAAUACAUCACAUUAUAGAUGGCGAAUCGAAAGGAUGGUCCAAGGGCACCCAGGAGUCUAGGGACCAGAAACAGGAAUAAAAUCAGAGACUGCAGUGAGGAAAGUCAAUCAGACUCCCCAGCUGUCAAUUUUACUGUGCAUCACUGUGCACUGUGUACCUGCAUUAGAUAGCAUGUCUGUGGAUGAGGUACCGGCUCUGGGAAGUCCUGUGACUCCUAACAUCUUGGGUCCUCCAGUCUCUAAUUCAGUGGGUCUCUUAAGGUAUGCAGCAUUUGUCCCACUGGAGGGACUCGAUUAAGUGUGGGUCUUCGGCAUGACAAGGCUGUUUUCAGCUGCCUGAAAACGCCUUGCAACGCUCACCUCGACACAGCAGCCCAGCAGCAGGAGGAAAUCAAGGAGGUCAUCUGCGCUGCCAAUUUCAAAUUACCCUUAGCAAAUACAGUUCACUUUAUAGAGCAAACAGGAUCACCCAGUUAACUCACGGGGCAGGAGAGAAAGAACUUUACCCAUCAUUAAUGUUUUACUACCUUUCUCAAAAAGUGUAACCUUUAACCCCCAAAUCAGCUCUAAACCAGAGCUGAGGAGGUCCAGCUGCUAGAUCAGUUCCGGGUGCCGGUCUGUCACUGGGCCAACGCUGUUUCGAUCAGGAGAAACAAAUAAACAGGAAGAUAAGCUCUUUCAAGCACACCCCAGAGCAGACCCAGAGUUUCCCCAGCGGAGAUAACCAGUCACUUGGCUCUCAUUGGAUGAUCGGGGGCUGUCUGCCCAAGUGCCCUCUCGGCCUGGAAUGGAGCUGGGCCUCCCUGGUGACGAGCGGCCGGGGAAGCCCUUCCUUCCCCAUGGAGAAGAGUGUGGCCUUUGGCUGCGACUAGGUUGGCCCCAGCACUGACUAAUCAAUGACUGAAGGAUUUGAUGCUCCUACAAAAAUACCACACUUAAUUGUCAGUGACUAUCAGCAAGGACUUUAUUUAGUACAAGGACUCCAAAGUCUGAGUCAAGUCUGGUGGAGAGAGCAUUUACGUGCGAGACCACCGAAUUCCCCAGAACCUGUGAGGCCCGGGCUCACGGUGACGCACAGCCCACUUGUGCUGAGCAGGGAACUGAGGCAAGGGUUCAGGUCCUUGCCUCCUUUCUCAUGUGUAAAUGACAGGUGGUUCCACACUCUCUCAUUUUUAUAGACGACUAAUGCCUAAUUAUUUGUCACCUAAGAAGUGAAUCAUUAGGCGUUAGUAAAAUUUAUUAUUCACAAACGAAAAUUAGCACAGGGCUGGAACAUCCCGACGGUCCCUUCCCAGAGGGCUGGCUGUGAGCAAGCUGGGCUCCGUGGCACCCGCGGCAUAGCUGGGAUUCCUCAAGUCUGGGGGCGGAACGCGCCUUAACAGCGCCGUCUUGAGCUGGUCGUGCUUUGCAAUUGCUGCUUUUCUUGCUUUUAAAUUAUACCUUACUGUUGUUUUAGCUUCUUUCCUGUCCGUUUGGUUUGUCAGGCUUGUUUGAUUAACCCUGAAGUGUGUGGUGGUGUAUUUCAGCUUCUGCCUAUACUUCCCCAGUCACUACACGUUAAUACACAAAUGCCCUGAGGUUGGAACGUGAGCCACCCAGGCCCCUAUUGCUAAGUCAAAAGUAUGCAUAAUUCUGCUGAAUGUGUUUGAGGAGCUCUUUUUCUAUGCUGUCUGGAAACUGACCGAGGUAGGUAGGCCCUAAGGUUUUUAGCUUGUCAAAGUGGGCUGCUGUCAAAAAAGUUUUGCAAGCUGCUGUCCUAGAAGUCUAGAACGCACCACACCCAUGUAGGCAGUGAAAUGCUAGCAGGUACUUAGCACCCAGCUCUCAGGGGUAAAAAUGUGCACGUGUGGGUGCGUAAUGUGUUUAAUAUAUAGGUUUAUUAUAAAUUUUACUGAUAUUAGAAGAUGUGUGAUACACAACUUACAAAUAAAAAAUAUACAGUACUCUUGAUUAUAAAUUCCAUAUAGCCGACUGAUUCUCACAGAAGGCAUUCGGUUGAUUUUUGUUGAACUCUUGUAUUCACGGCGAAACUAUGGUUAUGGCUGAUGAACAAAUGUAGUUUCAACAUAAUGUUAGUGGAUAUUUCAGUUCAAGAGUAAGAUACAAGGAAAACAACAAAGACUAUGUCAAACCUCAGUCAUUCAUCAAUGAUGUGUGUGACUUCUUUGCUAAAUCAGAUAAUAUUUUCACACACUGAAGGAAUGUAUUUUCAGUUUUCCAGCUAUUCACAGUUUAACAGCUAUACACAUUUUUAAGUUUAAUCUGUCUUAUUAAUAUUUUCUCCAUCACUUUUUUAAGUUUGCGCUAGCAACAAAACAAUAAACCAAACUCUGAUGUGUAGCAUUUUGCCAAUUUCUAGGCUGUGAACACUCCCACCGUGGCUGAUUUCCAUCUACUGACAUGGAAUUGGGAAGAGACGCCCGGGUCCAUCUGUUUAAAGAUGCAACAAGAUGAAAACAUGUCCUCCAUCUGCCACUCUCGCUUUUUUGUUGAACGAGCUGGGAUCCUGCAGAUGAGUGAGUGCUGUCUCCUGCCCGCUGGGACUGGUCUAGACCUGCUCCCAGCGCCAGUCCUACCACGUGCUAUUCCAGCAGGCAAGAAUCAGAGGCUUUGAAACUGUUCUUCUUGCAGAAGAACCCUCACCUGUGAUCUUGGAAGAAAAAGUUUUAAGAAACGAACAAAUUAUUAAUUUGGAAGCCAUCCUGGAGUUCUGAAAACUAAAAUCUGCUCUUUGAAAGACACUACAGGGAAAAUAUGUUUAAAUACUCAACUAAUAAGUAAUUCUAUUCCAUAAGUACCUUCUAGUCAUGGUAGAUAUUUACGAAUAGGUUGAACAAGAAAAAAUUAAGGUCAAUUCUUCUUGACCUGAGAAGCCUGAAAAAAAGUAGACAGUCUCAAACUUACUUCCUUUUACUCAGGGGAAAGGCAAUCUCGAGAUACAACAGUCUGGUUUCCAAGAGGGACCUGGAGAAGAGAGAAUGCAGGCAGCAGUGGCUGAAACAGAGCUGUCACCUACAGUUUGAAUAAUUUUAACACUAAUAUCAUUUACGUACAUUCAAGUGAACUCUUUUCUUUGUGCCCAGAUGGUGUAUUGACAUAACUGCUUUAAUGAAAAGAUCUUUUGACAACAAACGCGUUUUAGUUUUUGAAAGAGGAAGCAUUCCUUGUUGGGCUUAAUUGAUGAGGUUUAAAUAUCCUCUUUUUUCUAGGAAAUCUAGCUCUCUAACUCCUCUCGUGUUGUUAAUGCCCAGGGUGUAGGGAGCAAUGGACUGAGAGUGCCCACAUCCCCCAGGGCCUCACAGAACCAUCUCAUCGGGGGUCUGCUCCCUCUGUACCUCCACCUCCGCAUCUGUUUUGUGGGUAUCUUCCCAUAGCAGGCACUUUCCUCCUGUUCCUGAGGAGGUUGUAAGCCCGGAGAGACAAGGUGAGUGAGCAUGCCUUACCUGGAACGUGCUACUGCUUCAGUCCUUCCUCUGAUUUCCCCCAGCCCCAGCUCAGGUCGGGGCAGGGUCGACAGCUGGCCAAGAAUAUAAAACUGGCUGUUUGAACCAAUGGCUCUUUCAUGAGCUUAGCCAGGUGUCUGGUGUUGGGCCACAGUCAGUAUAUUCAUCUUUAGAGGCCAGAAGUCCAAGUUGCCUUCUGAGGUUGGUGGAAAGGAGGAGGAGAGGUGAAGAUGACCUCCUUCCCAGAAGGUGGAACCGAGGAUGACCGUCUACUAGCAGCACCCGGGGGACUAGCUCUGCGUCCUGGAACUUCCUUCUCUCAACAGGAAGUGAUGGACUGAAUAACACUUAACGCAAAGUGGGAAGCGGUCCUCCGAGUACAUGCCAGAAUGGUUAUAGACAGAGGGCUAAAGUAGUUGGAAGAAAAUUCUUGUUGAAAUAUUCCCGUCUGUAUUUUAGACAGAUUUCACCUCUGAGGAUAAAAUGAUGUAUUAUAGCAACAACAGCCUAAAUUAAUAAAAGCACAGGAAAAGACUUUAAUAGAAACUGGAAACUUCUGUAACUUUUGCCCAACCCAGAACUUUGGGAGAUGUUAGAUGAGACAUCAGCUACAGAACCUAGAACUGAGAGCAUUUCCCAGGACGUUAGUAACAGGUUUAGCUAAAUAGGACUACGAUUCCUGCUCUCAUAGCUCCUCACUGUUUGCAAAGACAAAUAAUCACCCAGACUACAGAGACCAACACACAACAAAAAGGGAAAUUUAAUCAAUAUUUAAUAAACAUUUUUGAUGCUAAUGAUAACAAUAAGUGUUUUACAUAUUUGAAUCAGUAUGGCAAAAUACCUAUAGGCCUGUAUCAGCCGUGAGAUUACUGGUUUAACGUCCAAAGAAAAAUAAUACUUCAUACCAAUGUGUAUAAACACAUAGGGCUGUCACGCUCUGCACAUGUGGCCACAUAUCAGACUUUGUGCUUUUAAGCACAACCUGAUAUAUUUGAGCUUUACAAAAAACUGUAAGGAAAUGUGUUAUUCCAAGUGUAUGGAUAAAUAAAUUAGAAAGUGGAGUUUUAAAAGAAAAUGUUGAUUGAAUAUAGGGAAAUGAUUUGCCUAAAGUAACACAAUUCAGUGGUUGAGCUGAAAUGAGGAGACCAGUCUCUAGGCUUCCAGUUCACUGUGCCACCUGCAGAGCAGUGGGGGUGCCUCAAAGCUCUCUUCUGAGAGCCUUCACAGGCAGGUGGGGCCUGAAGGAAAUGUGGUCCUCCUGCCUCCCCGCUCUAUCUCAUCCUUCGUCUGCUGUCCUGAGAUUCGAAGGCUGGGAGGGUUAUGAGGUUUCAUUUGAGACAGCUAUUUGGCUUCCCCUAACUCCCUGAUGAGGGAAACCACGGAAGAUGUGUUUCUGCAGAGUGAUGACACUGGUCAUUGUGGGUGAGAUGAAGAAGAAUUUUAUCACUCUAAUGAUUGAGAAUUGUUUGCAAAUGAUGAUGUAUACGCAUCCAUAAUCAGGAAUGGACAAGAGAAAUGGUGUGAGAAGAGAGAGGGAACAGGGAGGAAGAGAUGCUCCACAGAGUGGAAAAGAGCAAGAGGAGGAAUGAUUGGGAAAUAAAUACAUGUCGCUUAGUGGUUUCCAGACAUUGAAUGAGUAUAAUUCUGAUAACUCUUUCAAUAAAUAUAUUUAUUCUCUCUAAUACAUCCUUUUAAAAGUUUUAAAAAUUGUGGUAAAAUACAAAUGACAAAAGUUUCCAUCCUCAUCAUUUUAAGCCGUAUAGUUCAGUGGCGAUAAGUGUAUUCAGAUUGUUGUGCAACCAUCACCACCAUCCAUCUCCAGAACUCUUUUCAUCUUGCAAAACUGAAACUCCGUAUCCGCUAAACGCUAACUCCCCAUUGCCUCCUGCCCCAGCCCCUGGCAACCACCAUCUACUUUCUGUCUCAAGGAAUUUGACCACUCUAUACCUCAUAUAGAUGGAAUCAUACACUAUUUGUUCUUUUGUGUCUGGCUUAUUUCACUUAGCAUAAUGUCCUCAAGGUUCAUCCAUGUUGUAGCAUUUGUCAGAAUUCUCUUUUUAAGGCUGAAUAAUAAGAAUUCCAUUGUAUAUAUACCACAUUUUGUUUAUGCAUUCAUCUGUCAAUGAACAUUUGGGUUGCUUCCACCUUUUGGCUUUGUCAAUUAUGCUGCUAUGAACACGGGUGUACUCAUAUCUGUCAAGUCCCUGUUUUCCAUUCUUUUGGGUAUAUACCCAGAAGUAGAAUUGCUGGAUCAUAUGGUAAUUCUAUUUUUAAAAAUUUUUAAUGGUGGUUAAAAAAAAACCCACAUAACACAAAUUUAUCAUCUUACCAAUUUCUAAGUGUACAGUUCAGUAGUAGUCAUCUAUUUUUAAUUUUUUGAGGAUCCACCAUGCUGUUUCCGUAGUCUGUAAUACGUUCUUGUGUUCCUCAUCAGCAAACGAGAUGAUACAAGAGAAGCUCUUCUGAGUAAAUUUGAAUUCAAUAAUUAUUAACUAACAAGAACAGCACCAGUGAUAAAAGUAGUACUAAUGAUGCUGGUGACAAUUUAUGGGGAACUUUCUAUGGAACCCUGUGCCGGGCACUAUAGAUGAUGUAAAGACCUGUUGGACACUCUCUUUGCCUUCACUGAGCUUAUAAUCUCCCUGGAGGGACAAACAUGGGGGCACCGAACUCGUAAUUUAAGCAGAAGCAGAAGUGCACACAGAGGUGUGCCGGAGCUGGGGCACCUGUCGGCAAGAGCCCAUCGGUGGGUGCAUCUCUUCCCAACUCCAGGUUUGGUGAUGUCACAGUCAGCCAGGGUGGGAGUGUUCAGAAGAAAGGAAUCACAAACAGUACAAGUCAGGGCUUGUUUUCCUCCCCAAAGAGCUGGUUUCUAAACAUUUACCAGCAUGCCACUGAGCACACCUAACUGAGGUGAGAACCCAGAAAAGAGCAUUUUGGGGCUGGGAGUAUCAAGGACUUGGGAAGCAUGGACUCAUGGACUCUGCUCUCUCUUGCCAUUCUUCUAUCAAUCAUGGAUUCGUUUCUCAGCUCCAGGCUUUCAAGGAGAAAUGACAGUGGGAGAAGGUCUGUGGAGCACCCAUUACUCUUCUACACAUCCUCUGAAAUUCAGUCAGAAGUGCACAUUGAUGAUCCCACGUGCUGGGAUCAAAUCAAGUGAGUUAGACAACGGGCGGACCAUCUUUAAAGUGAGGGUAGCACAGCAAAACGCUGAUAAAAAUGCUGCGCUGAGGACAGGAAAAUCUCUCUAUUCCAGACAUUUUCUUGUUCAGCUCAACCUAAAUUAUCAAAAUCACUAAAACCAAACUUGUCCUUCAGAGAUUAUUGCACUAAUUGAUAAAAUAAUGUUGUAAAUGAGUUGAUUAUACAUCAAAAAAUUUUGUAAAUUGUAGUGCUAUACAAAAUCAAAAAUAUAGUAAUAAAAUAUUUGUAAAGAAAAAAGUGAGAGUCCAC